rnacentral:rRNA from 1 species
GACGAACGCUGGCGGCGUGCUUAACACAUGCAAGUCGAACGAUGAAGAAGAGCUUGCUCUUCGGAUUAGUGGCGAACGGGUGAGUAACACGUGACUAACCUGCCCCUUUCUCUGGGAUAACGCUCCGAAAGGAGUGCUAAUACCGGAUACUCACAUCGAGGCACAUGCCUUGAUGUGGAAAGUUUUUCGGAAAGGGAUGGAGUCGCGGCCUAUCAGCUUGUUGGUGAGGUAACGGCUCACCAAGGCGACGACGGGUAGCCGGCCUGAGAGGGCGACCGGCCACACUGGGACUGAGACACGGCCCAGACUCCUACGGAAGGCAGCAGUGGGGAAUAUUGCACAAUGGGCGAAAGCCUGAUGCAGCGACGCCGCGUGAGGGAUGAAGGUCUUCGGAUUGUAAACCUCUUUCAGUAGGGACGAAGCGAAAGUGACGGUACCUAAAGAAGAAGCACCGGCUGACUACGUGCCAGCAGCCGCCGUAA